GAGAAGAACGUAGCGAAAUGCGAUAAGUAGUGUGAAUUGCAGAAUUCAGUGAAUCAUCGAAUCUUUGAACGCACAUUGCGCCCCUUGGUAUUCCAUGGGGCAUGCCUGUUCGAGCGUCAUUUGUACCUUCAAGCUUUGCUUGGUGUUGGGUGUUUGUCUCGCCUCUGCGUGUAGACUCGCCUUAAAACAAUUGGCAGCCGGCGUAUUGAUUUCGGAGCGCAGUACAUCUCGCGCUUUGCACUCAUAACGACGACGUCCAAAAGUACAUUUUUACACUCUUGACCUCGGAUCAGGUAGGGAUACCCGCUGAACUUAAGCAUAUCAAUAAGCGGAGGA
rnacentral:misc_RNA from 1 species